UCCUAUCAUGCAAGUCGUACGCACGCGCUUCGGCGCGUGAGUGGCGCACGGCUGAGUAACACGUGGGAACCCGCCCUCCGGUGGGGGAUAACGCGACGAAAGUCGCGCUAAUCCCGCAUACGUCCGCAAGGGGAAAGCGCUUCGGCGCGCCGGAGGAGGGGCCUGCGGCCCAUCAGGUGGUUGGUGGGGUAACGGCCUACCAAGCCGAUGACGGGUAGCUGGUCUGGGAGGAUGACCAGCCAGACUGGGACUGAGACACGGCCCAGACUCCUACGGGAGGCAGCAGCAAGGAAUUUUCGGCAAUGGGCGCAAGCCUGACCGAGCAACGCCGCGUGCGGGAUGACGGCCUUCGGGUUGUAAACCGCUUUUCGGGGGGACGACUACGACGGUACCCCCGGAAGAAGCCCCGGCUAACUCUGUGCCAGCAGCCGCGGUAAGACAGAGGGGGCGAGCGUUGUCCGGAGUUACUGGGCGUAAAGCGCGCGCAGGCGGUGGUCUCAGUGUC
rnacentral:rRNA from 1 species